rnacentral:rRNA from 1 species
AAAUUGAAGAGUUUGAUCAUGGCUCAGAUUGAACGCUGGCGGCAGGCCUAACACAUGCAAGUCGAACGGUAACAGGAAGCAGCUUGCUGCUUUGCUGACGAGUGGCGGACGGGUGAGUAAUGUCUGGGAAGCUGCCUGAUGGAGGGGGAUAACUACUGGAAACGGUGGCUAAUACCGCAUAACGUCGCAAGACCAAAGAGGGGGACCUUCGGGCCUCUUGCCAUCAGAUGUGCCCAGAUGGGAUUAGCUUGUUGGUGAGGUAACGGCUCACCAAGGCGACGAUCCCUAGCUGGUCUGAGAGGAUGACCAGCCACACUGGAACUGAGACACGGUCCAGACUCCUACGGGAGGCAGCAGUGGGGAAUAUUGCACAAUGGGCGCAAGCCUGAUGCAGCCAUGCCGCGUGUAUGAAGAAGGCCUUCGGGUUGUAAAGUACUUUCAGCGGGGAGGAAGGUGUUGUG